GGAAGGAUCAUUAACAAAAACUGAACUUAAUAACUAAGUGAAAGACGUGUGAGAGCAAUCUUGCACUACUUAAACUUACUUUGAGACCCUAUAACUAAGUAAUGGUUGAAAAGAAAAUAAAUUCUCAACGAUGGAUGUCUUGGCUCCCAUAACGAUGAAGAACGCAGCGAAAAUGCGAUAUGCAAUGUGAAUUGCAGAACUACGAAACAUUUGAUCUUUGAACGCAAAUGGCGCUGGUUUUACCAGCAUACUUGUUUCAGUGUGCCGAACCAAAUUUCAACUAACUGUGGGUGAAAACUCACCCAUCAAACAAAUGCUCCAAGUAGCAGUCACAUUUCUAUGUGAGCUAUUUUGGUGAAAACUGUCUGAUUCGCACCUGAAAUCAAGUAAGAUCACCCGCUGGACUUAAGCAUAUUACUAAGCGGAGGAAAAGAAAUUAACUAAGAUUGCCUUAGUAAGGGCGACUGAACCGGCAAAAGCUCGAAAUUAAAAUCGGAAAUUCAAUGAAUUUUCGAAUUGUAAUCAGGGUGCCCAAAAUACGUGCGGCUACUUAAGAGUCUCGAAAGGCUCGCCACAGAGGGUGAAAGCCCCGUGCAGUGGUCACACGAACGCGGGAACUCGAACAAGAGUCGUGUUGCUUGGAACUGCAGCACUAAGUGGGAGAUAUGAUUCUUCCAAAGCUAAAUAUGGAUGGGAGACCGAUAGCGAACAAGUACUGUGAAGGAAAGAUGAAAAGGACUUUGAAAAGAGAGUGAAAAGAUCUGAAAUCGUUGAGAAGGAAGCGGUUGAAACUGAUCGAGGUUAUGAUGGAGCAACGCGGCCAAAAGUCGCGGAGCGACUACCAAAGACCCUGGACAAAAUCAAGUUUUCCGGACCAAACAAGGUGCAAGCCGUGUAAGGCCUGGAGAACUUGAGGGGCUAAGGCGAUUUUGUCUAAAAGGUUUCAACCGUCCCGUCUUGAAACACGGACCAAGGAGUCUAUCACAUAUGCGAGUGUGCGAGUGACAAACUCAUACGCGAAAUGAAAGUGAAAGGUGCGCAGCGCAAGCAGCAGCAUCGACCGACCUAGUAAGAAAGGUUUGAGUGAGAGCAUAUUUGAUAGGACCCGAAAGAUGGUGAACUAUGCCUGAGUAGGGUGAAGUCAGGGGAAACCCUGAUGGAGGCUCGUAGCGGUACUAACGUGCAAAUUGUUCGUCAAACUUGGGUAUAGGGGCGAAAGACUAAUCGAACCAUCUAGUAGCUGGUUCCCUC
rnacentral:misc_RNA from 1 species